rnacentral:lncRNA from 7 species
AAUUCCCAGCCUUAUCCUGUGCAUGUGUUCAAAUCCCUGGAAACCUGUGCGUCUCCUCUGAUGCGCGUUCAGCUCCUCCUCUCAGCUCAUGCACGCCAACUUCCAGGCCUUUCACCACUGCCAAUCAAAUCUCUCGCUCGACGCUGGUCACACGCACCACGCACGCCCAGCCGAGCUCCUGCUUCCCUCUCCCGCGGUGCCUGGCUUCCUCCAAGCUCGCCCCCAACCACAACCACGCCCUGGUCCGCGCUCCAGCCCUCCCCAUCCUCCUCUUGCUAUGGUGCCCAGCCGAGCUCUCUCCCCUUCCUGCCAUGGCCGACGCCCCUCCCUGCUGUAGCUCGAUGCCCUCCCCUGCAGCAAGCAGUGCCCUCCCCUUUCUGCAGCAAGUGGGUGCCCCCAGCCCCUCCUUUGUUCCCAUGGCCGGCCACCUCUGCUGCUUCCAUGGUGAUCUCUAAAUCCCUUUGUUGUUUUACUAGUUCUUGUUAAUACCCUGCUGAUGUGAGGUUUUAUGUGUGUUGAUGUGUGCGAUAUGGAGUAAAAUCCUUGGAGAAUUAGGUGGAGAAGAAGGUUAAGUUCAACACUCAUUAGGUGUUCGAUGAUAUGCUCGAACUGGUGGCCGUCUUCGUUCUUGCUGAAAUCGAGUCGGAGCAUGAUGUGGUUCGUUACACGUGAUGCGAAGGACAAGAGCCGAGUUGAUCCCAAAAUGAUGCUAGUGAACGAACCUAAGGAUGGAUGAUCUGAUAGAGUGCCAGAAUGGGAGAUGCUCACCAAGUGGUCGUCAAUUAACAACACUAACUUAGUGUUAUCCCAGGUUCGUUACACGUGAUGCGAAGGACAAGAGCCGAGUUGAUCCCAAAAUGAUGCUAGUGAACGAACCUAAGGAUGGAUGAUCUGAUAGAGUGCCAGAAUGGGAGAUGCUCACCAAGUGGUCGUCAAUUAACAACACUAACUUAGUGUUAUCCCAGGUUAUAAUUUUGUUCUGUUAUGGAUGCUGCUAAGUGCCGGUAGGCUCGGCCUUCUUAUAUAAGUAUAUCCCAUCUUUAGCUUCUUUAUUGAGGAUUGUCACUUAAGCUAGCAUGUAUUUGAAAACCUAUAAAUAUUUUAUACAUUUUAAAUUGUAAUUUUUUUGAAUCACUUUCUUUUGUAAUCACUCCGAUGAUAUAUAUUGUAAUCUUGUUAUAACUUGUAAAUGUUGUAACUUGUAACCAUUUUGUAAUAAAGAAUUUCCGCUAAAAAAAAAAAAAAAAAAAA